AAGCUCGUAGUUGAAUUUCGGACCCGACCGGGCGGUCCGCCUAACGGUGUGUACUGUCUGGCCGGGCCUUACCUCUUGGUGAGCCGGCAUGCCCUUCACUGGGUGCGUCGGGGAACCAGGACCUUUACCUUGAGAAAAUUAGAGUGUUCAAAGCAGGCUUACGCCGGAAUACAUUAGCAUGGAAUAAUAAAAUAGGACGUGCGGUUCUAUUUUGUUGGUUUCUAGAGUCGCCGUAAUGAUUAAUAGGGAUAGUUGGG
rnacentral:rRNA from 1 species